GACGAACCGUGCGAACGUUGUUCGGAAUCACUGGGCUUAAAGGGCGCGUAGGCGGCGCGUCAAGUCGGGGGUGAAAGCGUUCGGCUUAACCGGACAAGGGCCCCCGAUACUGACACGCUCGAGGGAGGCAGGGGCAGACGGAACUUCCGGUGGAGCGGUGAAAUGCGUUGAUAUCGGAAGGAACGCCGGUGGCGAAAGCGGUCUGCUGGACCUCUACUGACGCUGAGGCGCGAAAGCCAGGGGAGCGAACGGG
rnacentral:rRNA from 1 species